rnacentral:rRNA from 1 species
GUCAAGUAAGAAUACCCGCUGAACUUAAGCAUAUCAAUAAGCGGAGGAAAAGAAACUAACUAGGAUUCCCUUAGUAACGGCGAGUGAACUGGGAAGAGCUCAAAUUUUAAAUCACUUUGGUGAAUUGUAAUUUGAAGAAAGUGUUUUGACUUUUCAGUUUAAUCUAAAUCCUUUGGGAUGAGGUAUCAUAGAGGGUGAGAAUCCCGUUCGUGAUUAAACCUCGGAUUGCACUAAUUCACUUUCUAAGAGUCGAGUUGUUUGGGAUUGCAGCUCUAAAUGGGUGGUAAAUUUCACCUAAGGCUAAAUAUAUGCAAGAGACCGAUAGCGAACAAGUACCGUGAGGGAAGGAUGAAAAGAACUUUGAAAAGAGAGUUAAACAGUACGUGAAAUUGUUGAAAGGGAAACGAUUGAAGUCAGUCAUACUAGUGAGGAAUCAACUUGGUGGUUUACUUCCUUGUGUAUUUUCUUACUUGGCAGGUUAGCAUCAAUUUUGGUUGUCAUCAAAUAAUUGGGGGAAUGUGGCUUUUCUUCGGGAAAGUGUUAUAGACCUUGAUAGAUGUGGCGACUGAGAUUGAGGUUUGCAGCGGAUGCCUUUGGCUAGUCAUCUGUCUUCUGACCGUCACCUCGCUUUUGACAGCUUGCUGAUGAUUGCGGGAUUUGGUGGCCUAGAAGUUAGAAUGUACAUAAAUUCGCUAAGGAUGCUGACGUAAUGGCUUUAAACGACCCGUCUUGAAACACGGACCAAGGGGUCUAACAUAUGUGCGAGUGUU